UCUCCGUUAUCCGGAGCAGUCCUCUUAGAGUUCCCCCUUGCGGGUGGCAACUAAGAGUAAGGGUUGCGCUCGUUGCGGGACUUAACCCAACACCUCACGACACGAGCUGACGACAGCCAUGCACCACCUGUGCACGAGCCCCGAAGGGCUGCCGUAUUUCUACGACAUUCCUGUGCAUGUCAAGCCUCGGUAAGGUUCUUCGCGUUGCGUCGAAUUGAACCACAUGCUCCGCUGCUUGUGCGGGCCCCCGUCAAUUCCUUUGAGUUUUAGCCUUGCGGCCGUACUCCCCAGGCAGGGCACUUAAUGCGUUAGCUGCGGCACCGGAGGGGUCGAUACCCCCGACACCUAGUGCCCACCGUUUACGGCGUGGACUAC
rnacentral:misc_RNA from 1 species